GUUCUUUGAGGUGGACAAUUUCGUGGCAUCCACACGCCGAUGGUAUUGACAGGGGAAACCCGAGAGAUGCAGGAGCACGCCACGCCUGCCAAAGAAC
rnacentral:ncRNA from 12 species